UCUCUCUCCUCUAUCCACUCACCCCAACCGGUCAAAGCAGAAGCUUAGAGUCAGAACUUUAAACUCACAACCACUGUUUCACUUCAGACUCAGUGUGCUUUACUGCACAGUGACAAAGCUGUUAAGAGAUGUUUCCAGUGCUUUGUGAGGGAUUUAUUUAUGGAAUGUAUUUUCCCUAAAACUGAACUGGGUGGAUUGUUCAGAUUCUUCAGGCACAAGGUCACACCCAGCCCAGGGCUUGUCAGUCUGGUCCAUAUGUCACAACAGAGAGACCGUGAACGGUAAACAACAAACUGCUGCUGCUGCGAUUCAAUAUCAGAGAAAAUGAAAGCUCAGGUUGUGAUCCUGCUCUUCGCUCUUGUGGUCGCGCUUAUAGCAGCCGACAGUAACCCCCCUGAGGACCGUGCAGUUAUUCCAGAGGACCAGUUCAUUCAAGACCUAAGGAGUCAGAAGAAUGAUUCGCAGUCAGAUACGAACGGCAAAGAAUCAAACAAGAAUGUAAAAGGAUAUCAAAAGGGUCCAUGAGAGGAAAAAACUGGCGACUUUCAUAACCUUGCUCAAAGUUAACCCCUAACCUGCACCCAAAACAUGUUGAAUGAAUAA